AACCGGUCGGGGAUCCUGGCAGCUGCAGAUGGCUUCAAGUGUGAGUCGACCUGGAGCUUCGAGGAGGAGGCGCAGCCCCAAGUGCAAUCUACAAAUUAACGAAUUUAGCCAUCAUAUUUAUCGGCUAUUGUCAUAUAUAACUUCAAUCAAAGCUUAAAAACCAUUCAAACAAGACAAUUUGAAGCCAAAGGAUAGUAUAAUGAAUUAUUUAUUAUUGAAUGCUAUAUUUUGUAUGCUGUUUAAGCUUUUUCAUCAAAUAUCCCCGCUUGUCGGAGCAUCCAGACAUCUUAAAGGGAGACUGCUAGACUGCACCCAAAAACUAACUUCAUUGUUAUCGAUUCUUUUGGUUUCGGGAGAAUCUCGAUUUCUUUGUGGAUCAAUCGAUGUAUCGUCACCGUUCUCUAUAGCUUAUCCGACUAUUCUACGGCAUUGUUCGGCUCAUUCAUCAGAGGCUUAGAAAGAGACAGGAGCUAUCGUUUUGAGACUUUUCCUUGCCAUUGGAGGACUUGCUGACACCAUUCUGGGUAGAUUCGCUUGACUAGGAAGAGUUGGUGGACGAGUGCCUCUACAACUCAGCACCUCAAUUACGGAUGGAAAAUCUCUUCGCAUGUCGGGCACUCCAUUAAAGUUACCAAUGAACAUCUUACAUCAAUCAAAUCAAUUUGGUGUUGAUUGCGGAAUUUCCAUUUUUUAUUCCGAAGACGAUUUAAAUAAAUACAAAUUUAUUAAUGUAUAAAAACAUACAUGUUUACUCACACUCAAUAUGUUGUCAUGUCUUAUCUUAUAUUUGACAAUAUAUAGGAGUGGAUAAUAAAAUGAUAAAAACGGGUGUAUUGGUAUAAAAAAUUCAACAUAAUGUCCUCAUGAAAUCGAUUUAAACCGAAAUUAAAGCAUACAGUGGCCAAUAGAUUCCAAGAAAAAUAAAAAUUACUUCCAUUGAGAAUUUAUUUUUUAAGAAGAAAUUGUGAAUAUUUUGGGAGUUUUAGUUUUGGCGUCAAGUUCCAAAGACUUGGACAAUGCACUACAGGUGGCUGACCACAUUUUUGGGCCACAAAUCCAUUUUUCGAAAGUCGUUGUCGGGAAAACAUCAAACUUCAAUGUUACGUAACAAAAACGGCACCAAACUAAGUUUUUAUCAAACAAGUUGUAAUGGCAUCGAAAGAGAGCGGUUUGUACUAUAUGUUUGAGU